UUAAGCAUAUCAAUAAGCGGAGGAAAAGAAACCAACAGGGAUUGCCCUAGUAACGGCGAGUGAAGCGGCAACAGCUCAAAUUUGAAAUCUGGCUUCGGCCCGAGUUGUAAUUUGCAGAGGAAGCUUUAGGCGCGGCACCUUCUGAGUCCCCUGGAACGGGGCGCCAUAGAGGGUGAGAGCCCCGUAUAGUUGGAUGCCUAGCCUGUGUAAAGCUCCUUCGACGAGUCGAGUAGUUUGGGAAUGCUGCUCAAAAUGGGAGGUAAAUUUCUUCUAAAGCUAAAUACCGGCCAGAGACCGAUAGCGCACAAGUAGAGUGAUCGAAAGAUGAAAAGCACUUUGAAAAGAGGGUUAAAUAGCACGUGAAAUUGUUGAAAGGGAAGCGCUUGUGACCAGACUUGCGCCGGGCAGAUCAUCCGGUGUUCUCACCGGUGCACUCUGCCCGGCUCAGGCCAGCAUCGGUUCUCGCGGGGGGAUAAAGGCCCUGGGAACGUAGCUCCUCCGGGAGUGUUAUAGCCCGGGGCGUAAUGCCCUCGCGGGGACCGAGGUUCGCGCAUCUGCAAGGAUGCUGGCGUAAUGGUCAUCAGCGACCCGUCUUGAAACACGGACCAAGGAGUCAAGGUUUUGCGCGAGUGUUUGGGUGUAAAACCCGCACGCGUAAUGAAAGUGAACGUAGGUGAGAGCUUCGGCGCAUCAUCGACCGAUCCUGAUGUUUUCGGAUGGAUUUGAGUAGGAGCGUUAAGCCUUGGACCCGAAAGAUGGUGAACUAUGCUUGGAUAGGGUGAAGCCAGAGGAAACUCUGGUGGAGGCUCGCAGCGGUUCUGACGUGCAAAUCGAUCGUCAAAUCUGAGCAUGGGGGCGAAAGACUAAUCGAACCAUCUAGUAGCUGGUUACCGCCGAAU
rnacentral:rRNA from 1 species